UUGACAGGGCUGUAGACUGAAGUCCCCCAUUUAUCCAGACAGCAGGUGCAGCAUAGGCAACAGCAAUUGAAGCUUCCCCAUGUUGACCUACCAGUGUAUUUGUGUCUUGACUUUAAAGAACUAAUUCUAAGAUAUGAGGAUAUUUCAGUCUCCAGGGGCCAUCUACUCUUACCCCUCA
rnacentral:sRNA from 1 species